AAAGACAAAACUAUAUGCUUUUCUCUUUUGUCGAUUAGAAGAACCAAAGUUUGGGAUUUUUUCAAGGUUUCUCUUUCAUCAUCUUAAUUGGAUUUCGGGAUUAAAUUGAUAUGCUGAAUCGAAGGCCGAGCAGAGCCAGAGGAGUUCGACAGGUGGAUCGGUACGAUCAGUUCUCGGAACAGUGAAUGAAGGUCGAUCGAAAUCAGAGAAAUCGGAGAACUGCUUCCUUGAGAAUCUUUGAUAUAAUAUAUUGGUUUCAGGAGAGAAUGUUGGAUCGAAAGAUGGGAAGAGUAUGACAAUGCUCCAGGAUCUUGUUCCUGGUUGUAACUGGAUUACAGGGAAAACUGUCAUGCUUGAUGAGAUUAUCAACUAUGUUCAGUCCUUGCAGAGACAAGUCGACGUAGGAGGAUCCGAUCAUCUAUGACAAUGUUUCUCAAAAAUCUGAAACUUUUGGUCUGUUUUUCUUCAGUUCUUGUCUAUGCUAGUGCUGCUUUAUCCACAGAGUGAAGUAGUGUUGCUCGGGAGUAGCCAAGAGAUAUUCUGUGUGUUACUCGUGGAUGUUUCUACUUCUUCAGAAGACAGAAAUUUAAGGUUACUGUGUUCGCAUGCUAUCAAUGAUAUACAAGAUGCCUCAGUUGGUCUAGGACUUCAAGUUAUAACGUUAGUCUUUUAUGGUUCCGCUUUUAAACUUGAUUCUGUCCCCAUGUUCCUAAUCUCUCUCUUACUUUCUGGUGGAGGCUACAAUUUAAGGAGGUCACAGAGUACAAUUUCAUAACAGGGAGCAUCGAGAAAACAACAGUUUUACUCAAAAUCAUGGAUUCUCAAGCUAUGGAACCUAUAUGUUCUUUGUGAAGGGAAAAUAUACAAAUGGAAAUGUUUGAGAAAGAAAUACGUGGUGGUCUGUAGCUGAAUAUAUUCCAGUAUAGUGUUAUCCAGUUUCAGAGCAGCACUCUUCGAGGGGAUUUUUGUAUUACUUGCGCAAGUUGCAAACACGAGCGCAUAUGAAUGUCGAGUGGUGCGUCCAAACACAGCUGUUAAGUAUCUUUUCAAAUAUAUCCCUAAGGGACCUGAUUAUACUUCAGCUGCAAUGGAUAUGGAAGAUGAAGAUGGCGUCAUUGACGAAAUUAAAACAUAUUACGACUGCAGAUAUAUUACUGAAUGCGAGUCGUCGUGGCGGAUUCUUGCUUUUCCUACACAUUUUCGUACUACUUCUGUAGAGAAACUUGGAUUUCAUCUUCCGGAUCGGGAGCUGAUGUUUUUUGAUGAAGAUGAACCUAUUGAGAAUAUUCUCAACAAAAAGACUGUCAACCAAUCCAUGUUUUUGGCCUGGUUCAUAGGAAACAAAAAAUACCCAGAGGCAAGAGAGUUGACAUAUGCCCAAUUUCCAACAAAAUUUGUUUGGAAAUCAGGUACGAGAGAAUGGGUACCACAGAAACGAGGCUUUGCGAUAGGGAGGAUUGCGCAUAUUCAUCCAUCAGGUGAUGAGCUAUACUUCUUAAGAGUAUUGCUAAAUUGGGUAAGAGGGCCGACAUCAUACGAGGAUAUAAGAACAGUUGAUGGUGUUUUAUAUCCUACAUACGAAGAUGCUUGCUAUGCGUUGGGAUUGAUGGAUGAUGACAAGGAAUUCAUAGAAGCUAUCAAAGAUGCCAGUUUCUGUAGUUCUGCCACAUAUGCCAGGAAGCUUUUUGCGAGGAUGUUGGUAUCCAAAUCUAUAUCUCAGCCUCAUGUUGUGUGGGAAGCUACUUGGGAGUAUCUUACCGAAGAUAUCCUUUACAAGAAGCGGCGAGAAACUGGACGACCUGAUAUGAACUUGACCAUAGAGCAGAUCAAAAAUAUUGCUCUUACUGAGAUCGAAAAUCAUUUGCUCAGCAAUGGUCGUAGCCUCAAAAAAUGGCCCCUCAUGCCAAAGCCAGAAGAUUUUGGCUGUUACAACGGCAAUCGCCUUAUAGAUGAUGAGCUUAAAUAUGGUGUGGAAGAUCAGCUAAAGGAAAAUGAAAGACUUAUGGCGAUGAUAACAGAUGAGCAAAUAGGGGUAUACAACCAGAUUCUGGAUGCAGUUUUAAAUGAUAGCGGUAGAGUGUUCUUUCUUUCUGGUUAUGGAGGCACAUGAAAAACCUUCGUAUACAGAGCACUCUCAUCAGCGAUCCGAUCUAGAGGUAUGAUUGUUCUAAAUACCGCAUCCAGUGGAAUUGCUGCAUUGUUGUUGGAAGGAGGUAGAACCGCACAUUCCAGAUUUGGUAUUCCGAUAGAUGCAGACGAAUUAAGUACUUGCAAGAAAAUGGAGCCAAGAUCAGAUCGUGCAGAAUUAGUUAAAGCGGCAAAGUUAAUUGUAUGGGAUGAGGCACCUAUGAUGAGCAGACAAUGUUUCGAGACGUUGGAUCGCACUAUGCGUGAUAUUAUAAGAUCUUCUGAAGACAAACCUUUUGGGGGUAAAGUUGUUGUUUUCGGUGGAGAUUUCAGACAAAUUUUACCGGUUAUACUUGGAGGUGGUAGAGCAGAGAAUGUUUUGGCUGCUCUGAAUUCGUCAUAUCUUUGGGAGCACUGCAAAGUUUUGAAGCUAACAAAAAACAUGAGAUUGCUCGCUGGUCUUACUGAUGAUGCAGCAAAAGAGCUUCAUUCCUUCUCAAACUGGAUUUUGGAUAUUGGAGAUGGAAAAAUAAAUUUGCCUAACGACGGUCAAGUUGAGAUUGACAUCCCUUCUGAUUUGCUGAUAAAAAAUAGUGGAGAAGAACCAAUUGAGACUAUGGCAAAAGAGGUUUAUGGACAAGCUUUUCAAACCUCAACAGAUAAGGAUUUGUGUAGACAUCGAGCCAUUCUUACUCCCACAAAUGAUGAAGUGGAUAAAAUAAAUGAUUACAUGCUUUCGCAGUUGCCAUGUGAAGAGAAGGUUUACCUUAGCUCUGACAGUAUUAUCCCAUCCGAUGUUGACAUAGAAGAAAAUGUAGUAUAUCCUGCAGAGUUUUUGAACAGUGUUAAAGUGGCUGGACUGCCUAUACAUUGUUUGAAGCUCAAGGUUGGUGCUCCUAUCAUGUGUCUUCGUAACAUGGAUGUUGCAGAUGGCUUAUGUAAUGGUACUAGGCUAAUUGUUACUCAGUUACUGCCCCAUGUGAUAGAAUGUAGAAUUAUAACCGGAAACAAUAUUGCUGGAUAUCCGGUUUGGAUCCCUAGAAUGUUUGUCACACCACUUGACACAAAGUUUCCCUUCAGAAUGCGUCGAAGAUAGUUUCCAGUUACAUUGGCUUUCGCGAUGACCAUCAACAAAAAUCAAGGUCAAACACUGGAAAGUGUUGGUUUGUUUCUGCCUAUGCCAGUGUUCUCUCAUGGUCAGCUAUACGUUGCACUUUCAAGAGUUAAGUCGAGAUCUGGAUUAAAAAUCCUAAUAACUGGUAAAGAAGGGAAGUCGGAGACAAAAACAUUGAAUGUUGUCUACAAACAAGUUUUUCAGAAUAUUCCGUAGUCAGGAUGGGUAGUGAUGAGUUAGGAGACCGAUUGUAUUUGAUUACCAUCCAGUUUUCCGAUUAUUUCGAUGACGGUUUCUAAUGGAUUUUGUUUUUUUUAUCGAGAAUUGUACUUCAUAAUUUAUAUUAUUUAUGGAUAAUAUUUUUAAUUUUAUUAUAUUUUCUUUUAAUAUGUCUACAUAAAUUUUUUGAUAUUAUUUAUGGAAAAAUAAUAUUAUUCACCUAAAAUAAAGAAUUACAAUACAUAUACAAUACAAUUCUAAUUAAUGAUAAUAUAAAAUCUGUUACUUCUAAAACUAUACACUAUUUAUUCCAUAUUUUAAAUGAAAGUAUCUUCUUAAACACAAAUUAUUUUGGGACGUUGCAAUUAUACAUACACACAAUAACUGUCUCUUGAUACUGAAGUUAUUUUGUUCCUUCUCGUUCAUGUCAAAUAUUGAGUACUAGCUUUUCUCCAUGGCUGAUGCUUUCUCCCAAAGACGAUGGUAUUAUGAUGUAAAAUCUGUUACUUCUAAAACUAUACUUUAUUUAUUCCAUAUUUUGAAUUUUCUUA